rnacentral:rRNA from 1 species
GUGGAUUAGAUACCCUGGUAGUCCACGCCCUAAACGAUGUCAACUAGUUGUUGGUAGAGUAAAAUCUAUGAGUAACGCAGCUAACGCGUGAAGUUGACCGCCUGGGGAGUACGAUCGCAAGAUUAAAACUCAAAUGAAUUGACGGGGGCCCGCACAAGCGGUGGAUUAUGUGGAUUAAUUCGAUGCAACGCGAAAAACCUUACCUGGCCUUGACAUGUACGGAACUUUCCAGAGAUGGAUUGGUGCUCGAAAGAGAGCCGUAACACAGGUGCUGCACGGCCGUCGCCAACU